rnacentral:rRNA from 1 species
CAGUCGCCGCGGUAAUACGAAGGGGGCUAGCGUUGUUCGGAAUUACUGGGCGUAAAGCGCACGUAGGCGGAUAUUUAAGUCAGGGGUGAAAUCCCAGAGCUCAACUCUGGAACUGCCUUUGAUACUGGGUAUCUUGAGUAUGGAAGAGGUAAGUGGAAUUCCGAGUGUAGAGGUGAAAUUCGUAGAUAUUCGGAGGAACACCAGUGGCGAAGGCGGCUUACUGGUCCAUUACUGACGCUGAGGUGCGAAAGCGUGGGGAGCAAACAGGAUUAGAUACCCCUGUAGUCCCUGUCUCUUAUAC